rnacentral:rRNA from 1 species
ACGAACGCUGGCGGCGUGCUUAACACAUGCAAGUCGAACGGUGAAGCGCCUUCCUUUUUGGUGGGUGUGGAUGAGUGGCGAACGGGUGAGUAACACGUGAGUAACCUGCCCCCUUCUUCUGGAUAACCGCAUGAAAGUUUGGCUAAUACGGGAUAUUCUGGGUCUGUCGCAUGAUGGGUCUGGGAAAGAUAUUGUUUCGGUGGGGGAUGGGCUCGCGGCCUAUCAGCUUGUUGGUGGGGUGAUGGCCUACCAAGGCGGUGACGGGUAGCCGGCCUGAGAGGGUGGACGGUCACACUGGGACUGAGACACGGCCCAGACUCCUACGGGAGGCAGCAGUGGGGAAUAUUGCACAAUGGGCGCAAGCCUGAUGCAGCGACGCCGCGUGAGGGAUGGAGGCCUUCGGGUUGUGAACCUCUUUCGCCAGUGAAGCAGGCCUGCCUCGUUUGUGGGUGGGUUGACGGUAGCUGGAUAAGAAGCGCCGGCUAACUACGUG